rnacentral:rRNA from 1 species
CGGGAGGAGUAACGCGUGAGGAACCUGCCUCAAAGAGGGGGACAACAGUUGGAAACGACUGCUAAUACCGCAUAAGCCCCCGGCUCGGCAUCAGCAGAGGGAAAAGGAGCAAUCCGCUUUGAGAUGGCCUCGCGUCCGAUUAGCUGGUUGGUGAGGUAACGGCCCACCAAGGCGACGAUCGGUAGCCGGACUGAGAGGUUGAACGGCCACAUUGGGACUGAGACACGGCCCAG